UACGUAGGGUGCAAGCGUUAUCCGGAUUUAUUGGGCGUAAAGAGUUCGUAGGCUUCUUGGUAAGUUGUCUUUCAAAGUCCGAGGCUCAACUUCGGAAAGGGAGGCAAUACUGCCAGGAUUGAAAGGUUUCGGGGCUACUGGAACUUAUCGUGUAGGAGUGAAAUCCGUUGAUAUGAUAAGGAACACCGAGGGCGAAGGCGGGUAGCUAGGAACCCUUUGACGCUGAGGAACGAAAGCCAGGGGAGCGAAACGG
rnacentral:misc_RNA from 1 species